GCCUGGGGAGUACGGUCGCAAGGCUGAAACUUAAAGGAAUUGGCGGGGGAGCACAGCAACGGGAGGAGCGUGCGGUUUAAUUGGAUUCAACGCCGGAAAGCUUACCGGGGGAGACUGCCGUAUGUGGGCCAGGCUGAAGACCUUGCCCGAACAAUAGGCAGAGAGGUGGUGCAUGGCCGUCGUCAGCUCGUACCGUGGGGCGUUCUGUUAAGUCAGGUAACGAGCGAGACCCCCGCCCCUAGUUGCUACCUGGUCCUCCGGGAUCAGGGCACACUAGGGGGACUGCCGGCGCUAAGCUGGAGGAAGGAGGGGGCAACGGUAGGUCAGUAUGCCCUGAAUCCCCCGGGCUACACGCGCGCUACAAAGGCUGGGACAAUGGGAUGCCACCCCGAAAGGGGGAGCUAAUCCCUAAACCCAGUCGUAGUUCGGAUCGAGGGCUGAAACCUGCCCUCGUGAAGGUGGAUUCCGUAGUAAUCGCGGGUCAGCAUCCCGCGGUGAAUAUGCCCCUGCUCCUUGCACACACCGCCCGUCAAGCCA
rnacentral:rRNA from 1 species